rnacentral:rRNA from 1 species
GAUGAACGCUAGCUACAGGCUUAACACAUGCAAGUCGAGGGACCGGCGCACGGGUGAGUAACACGUAUCCAACCUGCCCUUUACUCGGGGAUAGCCUUUCGAAAGAAAGAUUAAUACCCGAUAUAAAGGAUGGGGAUGCGUUCCAUUAGGUUGUUGGUGAGGUAACGGCUCACCAAGCCUUCGAUGGAUAGGGGUUCUGAGAGGAAGGUUCCCCACAUUUGAAAUGAGGCCACGUCCCAACCCCGACGGGGGGCAGCAGUGAGGAAUAUUGGUUCAUGGGCGGCAGCCUUAACCAGCCAAGUAGCGUGAAGGAUGAAGGCUUUUGGGUCGUAAACUUCUUUUAUAUAAGAAUAUGUAUUAUAUGAAUAAGGAUCGGCUAACUCCGUGCCAGCAGCCGCGGUAAUUC